AACUACACAUUGAAAAUUCUAGCUGGGUUGAUCCAGAUCUUGGUGCUACUACCUAUCAUCCAUAGCAUCUCCUCUUUUUACCACCAGCCACCACUACCACAAUGUUCCUCACACAAAUCAGGUUGUCCCACCGGCCUACAGAACUUGGAUAUUUGCUACGACAGUCUGCCAUGUGGUGCAUUACUUGGUUGAUGCCCAUCGAGAGUUCAAGACCAAUCCACACUAAGCAUUCUUGAUUCAUUAUUAUUUGCAUUAUUUUCAGAUCCAUUACCUUCUUGCAUAUCGUCAUCUAUGCAGCACAUGCCAACAAGCUCUGUCGACGUGAGAGACAUACGAGGCCAUGAGGGCAUCCUAUAGACAAAAAGGACAUUCGAGGAAUUAAAAAAUUGAAUCGUCUCCACAGAACAAACUGCAAGCUUUGAAAUCAUUGAAGUGUUGGCAAUUCCGUAAUCUCUUAACAUAGGCUGCCGUCAUCAUGCCUCUCAGGCCCGGAGGCUCUGUUCAUAAUCACCUCUCGCCAUAUCUAGGGAGGAUUAUGGUCUAGGCAGAGCGGUGCAUGAUGCUGUAGUGUGGCUAUUGUCAAUGACACUGUCGUGAUGUUGUCCACUUUGCACCGGUGGUUCGAAAGCGACACAAUGACAUCAUGUUUCUUCUCCUCGGCGAGUUUAUUAUUUUUCAUAGACCUCAUGGAGCAGAGUACCGAGGGCUGAGGAGACAAGUGCUGGAGAGGGUGGCAUGCAUCAGGAUGAGAGGGAAGAAAGUGCUGGAGGAUGUAAACAUCUGGAGGAACAUGUAUAGAGUGGUUCUUUGUGGGGAAAAAAUGUAUAGAGUGGUUGGUGUAUACUUCCUUUUUGUGAUAAUAAUAAAUGAAGUGCAUUCUGGUGCUA